GGCAUAGUGGUUUAUAGGGUUAGCACAUUUGCCCCACACCUCCAAGGUUGGGGGUUCGAUUCCCACCGGGGCCA